CUUCCUGUGGUUGCAAGAGGUUUCUCAAUUUGCAUUACAUUUUUGAUGCAACUACCUGUUGUAGAAUUAAUGGAAGUGGGUUUUAUUUUUGUUCGAUUUCUGCAGUUAGAGGGAUUAAUGCUCAUAUUGAGUUCCCAGGUUGUGAUUUCUGUCGACAUUUCUCUGUUUAUUAGAGGAUUAUUCAAAAACUACUAAAGGGAUUUUUAAGAAACGUUUAAGAAAUAUAGGUUAUUCUACAACAAACAACCUAUAACAAUUUUAGAAAUGAAUUAUAAAUUGUAUAAUAUUGAGAUAUGUGUCGUAGUUUAGGAGGUUGGUACAGAACCCAAUGCUAAUUGUAAUACAUUAUGAUGUGAAUUACAUGAGUGAAUAAAUUUUGUGGAGCGACUGCCUGGCAUUUCAAACCUGUUAUCACAUGAUGAUGAGGCAGUAUCAUUUUAUCUUUUAUUUAUUAGCACUUGGUAACUAUUUAUGCUGUCCCCACUAGGUGGCAAUUUAGAAUAUAUUCCUGAGUGACAGUUAUUGAGAAUACGGUGGUCGAAAAUGCAUCAAAAGUCCAUGAUUGUAAAAGUGAAGCUCUCCCAAAUUGUAUGACUUGUUCGUCAUAUAAAUAUCAACCUCAUGCAAAAUUGUAUGUUCCUAUAUACAUUUGCUUGAAAUAUAUUCUUGCAUUAAAAUCUUCAAUUGUUUUACUGCCAAACAAACUGUGGUUGUAUGAGCUUUGUAU